CCUACGGGACGCACCAGUGGGGAAUAUUGCGCAAUGGGGGAAACCCUGACGCAGCGACGCCAUGUGAGGGACGAAGGCUUUCGGGUCGUAAACCUCUGUCAGGAGGGAAGAAACUGUUUGAGGCUAAUACCCUCUUUCACUGACGGUACCUCCAGAGGAAGCACCGGCUAACUCCGUGCCAGCAGCCGCGGUAAUACGGAGGGUGCGAGCGUUAAUCGGAAUCACUGGGCGUAAAGCGCGCGUAGGCGGCGCGAUAAGUCAGGCGUGAAAGCCCUCGGCUCAACCGGGGAAUUGCGCUUGAGACUGUCGUGCUUGAGUCUCGGAGAGGGUGGCGGAAUUCCAGGUGUAGGAGUGAAAUCCGUAGAGAUCGGGAGGAACACCGGUGGCGAAGGCGGACACCUGGACGGACACUGACGCUGAGGUGCGAAAGCGUGGGUAGCAAACAGGAUUAGAU
rnacentral:rRNA from 1 species